rnacentral:tRNA from 1 species
CCGACCUUAGCUCAGUUGGUAGAGCGGAGGACUGUAGAUCCUUAGGUCCUGGUCCGAAUCCGGCGGGUCGGA